rnacentral:tRNA from 1 species
GCCGGUGUGGCUCAAUGGCAGAGCGGCGGUUUUGUAAACCGCAGGUUGUGGGUUCGACUCCCACCGCCGGCU